CAAUAGCGUAUAUUAAAGUUGUUGCAGUUAGAACGCUCGUAGUCGGAUUUCGGGGCGGGCCGACCGGUCUGCCGAUGGGUACGCACUGGUCGGCGCGUCCUUCCUUCCGGAGACCGUGCCUACUCUUAACUGAGCGGGGGCGGGAGACGGAUCGUUUACUUUGAAAAAAUCAGAGUGUUUCAAGCAGGCAGCUCGCUCUUGCAUGGAUUAGCAUGGGAUAAUGAAAUAGGACUUUGGCGCUAUUUUGUUGGUUUCGAACACCGAAGUAAUGAUUAACAGGGACAGUCAGGGGCACUCGUAUUCCGCCGAGAGAGGUGAAAUUCUCAGACCAGCGGAAGACGAACUACUGCGAAAGCAUUUGCCAGGGAUGUUUUCACUGA
rnacentral:rRNA from 1 species